rnacentral:rRNA from 1 species
UACGAAGGGAGCUAGCGUUGUUCGGAAUUACUGGGCGUAAAGGGCGCGUAGGCGGUUUGGCAAGUUGGAUGUGAAAGCCCAGGGCUCAACCCUGGAAUUGCAUUCAAGACUGCCUUACUUGAAUUCGGUAGAGGUUGGUAGAAUUCCCAGUGUAGAGGUGAAAUUCGAUAGAGAUUGGGAAGAAUACCCGUGGCGAAGGCGGCCAACUGGACCGACAUUGACGCUGAGGCGCGAAAGCGUGGGGAUCAAACAGG